rnacentral:rRNA from 1 species
AUUGAACGCUGGCGGCAUGCCUUACACAUGCAAGUCGAACGGUAACGGGCCUUCGGGUGCCGACGAGUGGCGAACGGGUGAGUAAUGUAUCGGAACGUACCUUUCAGUGGGGGAUAACGUAGCGAAAGUUACGCUAAUACCGCAUAUUCUGUGAGCAGGAAAGCAGGGGAUCGCAAGAACUUGCGCUGAUUGAGCGGCCGAUACCAGAUUAGCUAGUUGGUGAGGUAAAGGCUCACCAAGGCGACGAUCUGUAGCGGGUCUGAGAGGAUGAUCCGCCACACUGGAACUGAGACACGGUCCAGACUCCUACGGGAGGCAGCAGUGGGGAAUUUUGGACAAUGGGGGCAACCCUGAUCCAGCCAUGCCGCGUGAGUGAAGAAGGCCUUCGGGUUGUAAAGCUCUUUCGGCCGGGAAGAAAUCGUAUCAGCUAAUACCUGGUGCGGAUGACGGUACCGGCAUAAGAAGCACCGGCUAACUACGUGCCAGCAGCCGCCGCAGUAA